UGGGGAUGACGUCAAAUCAUCAUGCCCCUUAUGACCUGGGCUACACACGUGCUACAAUGGUUGGUACAACGAGUUGCGAGUCGGUGACGGCGAGCUAAUCUCUUAAAGCCAAUCUCAGUUCGGAUUGUAGGCUGCAACUCGCCUACAUGAAGUCGGAAUCGCUAGUAAUCGCGGAUCAGCACGCCGCGGUGAAUACGUUCCCGGGCCUU
rnacentral:rRNA from 1 species